UGGCGAGGCGAUAGCAUGUUCAAUGCAUUAGUUUCCAAUUGUCACUGGAGCUAAGCAACGUUGCGCGUGGUUGGUAUCCGGAGAGGUGACCAUCUUGGCAAUCGCGUGCUUUCCCGG
rnacentral:rRNA from 1 species